rnacentral:rRNA from 1 species
ACGAUAUGCUUUGGGGAGCUGUAAGUAAGCUUUGAUCCAGAGAUUUCCGAAUGGGGAAACCCAGCACGAGUUAUGUCGUGUUAUCUGCAUGUGAAUACAUAGCAUGCAAGAAGGCAGACCCGGAGAACUGAAACAUCUUAGUACCCGGAGGAAGAGAAAGAAAAAUCGAUUCCCUGAGUAGCGGCGAGCGAAACGGGAAGAGCCCAAACCAAUAAGCUUGCUUAUUGGGGUUGUAGGACACUCUGUACGGAGUUACAAAAGAAUUUGUUAGACGAAUAACCUGGAAAGGUUAAUCAGAGAAGGUAAUAAUCCUGUAGUCGAAAACGAAUUCUCUCUUGAGUGGAUCCUGAGUACGACGGAGCACGUGAAAUUCCGUCGGAAUCUGGGAGGACCAUCUCCUAAGGCUAAAUACUCUCUAGUGACCGAUAGUGAACCAGUACCGUGAG